ACACUGUUGAGGAGUCCCAAAUGGGACGAAACGGCCGUCCAAUGC
rnacentral:hammerhead_ribozyme from 1 species